rnacentral:rRNA from 1 species
UGGGGAAUAUUGGACAAUGGGCGCAAGCCUGAUCCAGCCAUACCGCGUGUGUGAAGAAGGCCUUCGGGUUGUAAAGCACUUUAAGCAGGGAGAAAAAGUUAUAAGUUAAUACCUUAUAACCGUGAUGUUACCUGCAGAAUAAGCACCGGCUAAUUCCGUGCCAGCAGCCGCGGUAAUACGGAAGGUGCAAGCGUUAAUCGGAAUUACUGGGCGUAAAGCGCGCGUAGGUGGUUUGUUAAGUUGGAUGUGAAAGCCCUGGGCUCAACCUAGGAACUGCAUCCAAAACUAACUCACUAGAGUACGAUAGAGGGAGGUAGAAUUCAUAGUGUAGCGGUGGAAUGCGUAGAUAU